GGUUUUAUCCUGAAAGAAGAAUGAAAAUUAAUGAAAUUCUAGUUUUUAUUCUAAUAGGUAAAAAGAAGAAAUCAACUAAGAAAGAAAGUUUUGCCAUAUAAUGAGCAAUAUUUUAAAAAAUUAAUGCUUAUGUUAACCUGAGUCAUUCUUGUAACUCAAGCCGGAAUUAAUUUAUUCCACUGUAGGCUUUUUACUUGUUAUAUAUUCACAUUUAUUAAUAUUGUACAUAAUCUAUUCCCAGUUAUCCAUGUUAAUUUAUUUAAGACUUUGCCAUAUCUUCUUGCCUUUGGAACAUCAGCCAUUUCAGUACUUAUUAGCUCUUACUACAAAGGAUUUAUAGAAGUAUCAAGAAGAUUUUAAAAACGGAGAUCAUGCAUGGGACUGAAGGUGGAUAAAAAGGAAGAAAAACUCAUCAAAUCUUUACAACAUUAGAAUAUUGCAUACCACAAGUGUUUGACUUUAUUCCACUGGAUUUGAAAAUAAGUGCAUAGUACUUAUCUCUGCGUAUAAUGGAGAACCUGAAAUGUGUGAAGACAUGCUUCAAAUGAUGAAGAAAAUGUAAAUGUAUCUAGUUUAAGGGGAAAUAGACUACCUGCUAAUUGCUUCAAGAAUUGAGUGAUUUGGAAGACCUCAGGAGAGGGUUCAUUUCUCUGAUUUGCAUACACUUCGCUCUUGCUACCUGGCUUACCACAAACGCCUCGAUGAUGUUGCAUGUGGAGUGUUCCUCAUCAACACCAGAGAUUGAGAAGGAUCCAGUGGCUCUGGGGACCAGAGAGCUUCUUCCCUUAAAGAAGCCGCCCUUCAUUGAUAUCCAGCCCUUCAGAGAGCAGACUUCAUGUUUGAUAAAUGAUCUGGUUUUCUUGUUACUAUUACUAUUAUUAUUAUUGCGCAAAAUUAAUUGGCUUAAUUUUCUUGGUGAGCUUAUUAGUUAAUACAGUUCUUUCAGCUCUCAUAGAGAGUCUCUCUUAGACAGUCUAAUAAAAAGGGCAGAAAAAAAGAAGUAAUAUUAUUUUUAUUUCCUUUCAGAGCUUUUAACACUUGGUAAUAUAAAUAAUCAAGGACUCUUAAACCACAAAAUCAAAUGCUUACAGCCUGCUUUUUAUGCAGGUGAAGAAUACAAAUUCCCUUGGGGGAGAUGAAUGAGGUAGAGGAGAAAGUGUGAGAGAGGAACAGGACAGAGGUGCAUGGAAAUGGUCAGAAUAUAAAGUGUAUCCAUAGAGAAUGGGGACAAAGGAGAACUGCAGAGGAGAAGGCAAUAAAAUAAAGAUGGAGCAAAGAUUAGCAGAGGGGGGAAUAAAGUGGGAACAGAAAGGUAAAGCAGAAGAAAAGAGAGAAAAAGUAAGUCGAAGAGGUAAAUGGAUUUUUCCUUAGAAAAGAUAGAACUACAAAGGAAGGGAUAUGUAACAUAAGAUACUGUGAUAUGGAGUGUGCAUUAUACCACUUAAAAAAACAACAAAAACCUCCAUAUUUACCACAAUUUAUGUACAGACUGCAUUGAAAAUCUGACCCCGCACUCUUGCAUAAUUUUUUGAAAUUUAUAAACCUGUGUUUUUCAUAUUGAGGGUAUUAGCAGUGCUUGAGAAAAUCAAACUAGUUCUUUCCAUAGUAGACAAAAAAUAUUUUUAAAGAAUGUCUCAAAGUAGCAGCUUCUAGUUAUAUAAGAGGGUAAUCAAAAUGUUAGGAUUUUCAUUUAUCUUGAAUACACAACCAUGAUUUGAAACAGUAUAAAGGGUUGCAAGGCAUGUCAAGGAUAAAAUGCACUUUAAAAAUUAAAAGAUUCAUAAGGUUAACUUUCAUUUCAGAGAAAUCUGUUAAAUAUGAAUGUAAAAAUGAAUAAAAUAUAAGGUCAUAGGCAAAUCAUCCUGUUUUCAUGAACCUUGAUCAUAUAAUAGAAGUUACAUUUGUUACUGAAAUGUGAAUGAAGAUGGAAUUCAAGAUAAGGUAUUAAUCAUAAUUAGAAUGACUAUGACAGGUCUGUGGUGACAAAUACUUAACAAGUAGUAAGAAUGCUUAUUCAUAACAAACCUCUUAAUUCAUUAAAUUCUUCAUUAAAAG
rnacentral:lncRNA from 1 species